rnacentral:rRNA from 1 species
AAAGUCCGGUCUCCGUUGGUGACCAGCGGAGGGUCAUUACCGAGUUUACAACUCCCAAACCCCUGUGAACAUACCUUAUGUUGCCUCGGCGGAUCAGCCCGCGCCCCGUAAAAAGGGACGGCCCGCCGCAGGAACCCUAAACUCUGUUUUUAGUGGAACUUCUGAGUAUAAAAAACAAAUAAAUCAAAACUUUCAACAACGGAUCUCUUGGUUCUGGCAUCGAUGAAGAACGCAGCAAAAUGCGAUAAGUAAUGUGAAUUGCAGAAUUCAGUGAAUCAUCGAAUCUUUGAACGCACAUUGCGCCCGCCAGUAUUCUGGCGGGCAUGCCUGUUCGAGCGUCAUUUCAACCCUCAAGCUCAGCUUGGUGUUGGGAGCUGCAGUCCUGCUGCACUCCCCAAAUACAUUGGCGGUCACGUCGAGCUUCCAUAGCGUAGUAAUUUACACAUCGUUACUGGUAAUCGUCGCGGCCACGCCGUUAAACCCCAACUUCUGAAUGUUGACCUCGGAUCAGGUAGGAAUACCCGCUGAACUUAAGCAUAUCAAAA